rnacentral:rRNA from 1 species
UCUGAAUCUGCGUACGGCUCCGCAAACCAGUUGUAAACUAUAGCAAGCAGGCUCGGGGUCGGCCUUCACGGGCUGGCCUCGGGCGAUAUGGAUAACCCUGGUAAUUCUGAGGCUAAUACAUGAACGUAGAACCCGGUUGACCAGGCCUCACGGCUAGGGAUGCUGGGGGAUGUGCGAUUGCAGGCUUGGGUAACUCCGGGAAAGGGCGCACGUCCAGACCGCGCUAUUAAAGGAUGGGCUUCUCACGAGGCCUGCCCCAGCGGCUCUUGCUGUGUGCUUCUGACCUAUCAACUAGACGGCAGCGUAAGGGACAUGCUAUGGU